rnacentral:rRNA from 1 species
GUGUCAGCAGCCGCGGUAAGACAGAGGGUGCAAACGUUGUUCGGAAUUACUGGGCGUAAAGCGCGUGUAGGCGGUUUGGUAAGUCGGAUGUGAAAGCCCUGGGCUCAACCUAGGAAGUGCAUUCGAAACUGCUGAGCUGGAGUACUGGAGAGGAAGGCGGAAUUCUCGGUGUAGAGGUGAAAUUCGUAGAUAUCGGGAGGAACACCGGUGGCGAAGGCGGCCUUCUGGACAGUUACUGACGCUGAGACGCGAAAGCGUGGGGAGCAAACAGGAUUAGAUACCCCAGUAGUCC